AUCCAGUCAGCUGCUUAGUCACUCUCUCUUUUUUCAUCUUCUAGAUCUGAAAAUGUAUUGCUUUCCUUUUGCUUUUUUUUUCUGAAGAAAGAAAUCCCUUUUGAUCUAUAAAUAGCUGCACAAGGUAAAACUAUGGGGCAAUCUUAAAAAUAUAUUAUAGAGAUGUCAGUUGUGACUCCAUAGCUAAGGUUGUGUUGAGAUCUGAACUUAAAAUUAAGACUAAUGUUCCUCUGCUUCACACUCAGAAGAUUACAUUUAGUGCCCAAAUUUGGCUCAGUAAGUCGUCUGAUGACAAUUGAAUUUUCUGCAUGGUAAUUCAAUACAGUAAUUUACUAACUUUUACUAGAGGAAACAUUUAAAAUUGCUCCCUUUUUGAAAUAUUCUCUUGUUUACUUACACGCACAUACAUUUUGAUAUUAUUACAGGUGUUACCCACUUUUGAACUUUGAAAAUUAAUGACAUUACAAGCUCUUUGCUUUAUUCAAAAUUAUUAUUUUGAGCUACCCAAAGAUUAGCCAGAGGAACUGCUCAGAUCUGUCAGCUGCUUCCGUUUUUCCAAUGCUGUCGGCCUGUUGUCUUAAUUCACCAGCUGUGCACUGCAUGUACCCCAGAACACCAUGUGAGGGAAGAGACAAUAGAAACUGGUUAUGCCAAAUGGAUGCAAUAUAUACUGGUCAAAUGCAGGUGCUUGCAGGAUUCACUGGGGACCAUUGUAACUACUUCUGUGUUGCCGUUGCUAUAUAAACUGAGAAGGAAAGUGCAGAGUUCCCUCUACAGGCCCAAACAGUUAUGUGUCAGCUGUGCUCACACUUCUUAGCACCUGCAAUAUUAAAUCUGACAUUGAACUUUUUUGGGCAUGAAUAAACUUAUCUUUUUC
rnacentral:lncRNA from 1 species